rnacentral:rRNA from 1 species
AUUGAGCGCUGGCGGCAGGCCUAACACAUGCAAGUCGAGCGAGAAAGGUCUUCGGACUGAGUAGAGCGGCGGACGGGUGAGUAACGCGUAGGAAGCUACCCGGUAGCGGGGGAUAACUCGGGGAAACUCGAGCUAAUACCGCAUACGCCCUGAGGGGGAAAGCGGGGGACCUUAUGGCCUCGCACUAUCGGAUGCGCCUGCGUCGGAUUAGCUAGUUGGUAGGGUAACGGCCUACCAAGGCGACGAUCCGUAGCUGGUCUGAGGGGAUGAUCAGCCACGCUGGGACUGAGACACGGCCCAGACUCCUACGGGAGGCAGCAGUGGGGAAUAUUGGACAAUGGGGGCAACCCUGAUCCAGCCAUGCCGCGUGUGUGAAGAAGGCCCUAGGGUUGUAAAGCACUUUCAAUUGGGAGGAAAACCUGCCGGUCAAUACCCGGCAGCUUGACAUUACCUUUAGAAGAAGCACCGGCUAACUCCGUGCCAGCAGCCGCCGUAAUAC